CCCGACUCAGAAUCAUACCUGGAGAGUUUCCAGUACUCUUCCAGUUUUGGCUAUGGGAGGGAGAGUCAAGCAGAAGCAGAGCCAUUCCAUUCCUAGUUUGCGCAGUGGCUAGUGAGUGGAAGGCAAACUGUUACAACU